UAGGGAAUCUUCCGCAAUGGGCGAAAGCCUGACGGAGCAACGCCGCGUGAGUGAUGAAGGUCUUCGGAUCGUAAAACUCUGUUAUUAGGGAAGAACAAAUGUGUAAGUAACUAUGCACGUCUUGACGGUACCUAAUCAGAAAGCCACGGCUAACUACGUGCCAGCAGCCGCGGUAAUACGUAGGUGGCAAGCGUUAUCCGGAAUUAUUGGGCGUAAAGCGCGCGUAGGCGGUUUUUUAAGUCUGAUGUGAAAGCCCACGGCCCAACCGUGGAGGGUCAUUGGAAACUGGAAAACUUGAGUGCAGAAGAGGAAAGUGGAAUUCCAUGUGUAGCGGUGAAAUGCGCAGAGAUAUGGAGGAACACCAGUGGCGAAGGCGACUUUCUGGUCUGUAACUGACGCUGAUGUGCGAAAGCGUGGGGAUCAAACAGG
rnacentral:rRNA from 1 species